rnacentral:rRNA from 1 species
AGAUUGAACGCUGGCGGCAGGCCUAACACAUGCAAGUCGAGCGGUAGAGAGGUGCUUGCAUCUCUUGAGAGCGGCGGACGGGUGAGUAAUGCCUAGGAAUCUGCCUAGUGGGUGGGGGAUAACGUUCGGAAACGGACGCUAAUACCGCAUACGUCCUACGGGAGAAAGCGGGGGACCUUCGGGCCUCGCGCCAUUAGAUGAGCCUAGGUCGGAUUAGCUAGUUGGUGAGGUAAUGGCUCACCAAGGCGACGAUCCGUAACUGGUCUGAGAGGAUGAUCAGUCACACUGGGAACUG